AGCGAACGCUGCGGCAUGCUUAACACAUGCAAGUCGCACGGGCGGGGGCAACUCCGUCAGUGGCGGACGGGUGAGUAACGCGUAGGAAUCUANCCUUGAAUGGGGGACAACCGUGGGAAACUACGGCUAAUACCGCAUGAUGCCUGAGGGCCAAAGACGAAAGUCGUUUGAGGAGGAGCCUGCGUCUGAUUAGGUAGUUGGUGGGGUAAAGGCCUACCCAAGCCUACGAUCAGUAGCUGGUCUGAGAGGAUGAUCAGCCACAUUGGGACUGAGACACGGCCCAAACUCCUACGGGAGGCAGCAGUGGGGAAUAUUGGACAAUGGGCGCAAGCCUGAUCCAGCAAUGCCGCGUGGGUGAAGAAGGUCUUCGGAUUGUAAAGCCCUUUUGGCGGGGACGAUGAUGACGGUACCCGCAGAAUAAGCUCCGGCUAACUUCGUG
rnacentral:rRNA from 1 species